UACAGAGGGUGCAAGCGUUGUCCGGAAUCACUGGGCGUAAAGGGCGCGUAGGCGGCCACCGCAAGUCGACUGUGAAAUCUCCGGGCUUAACCCGGAAAGGUCAGCCGAUACUGCGGGGCUAGAGUGCAGGAAGGGGCAACUGGAAUUCUCGGUGUAGCGGUGAAAUGCGUAGAUAUCGAGAGGAACACCUGCGGCGAAGGCGGGUUGCUGGGCUGACACUGACGCUGAUGUGCGAAAGCUAGGGGAGCGAACGGG
rnacentral:rRNA from 1 species